rnacentral:rRNA from 1 species
UACGUAGGUGGCGAGCGUUGUCCGGAUUUACUGGGCGUAAAGGGAGCGUAGGCGGACUUUUAAGUGAGAUGUGAAAUACCCGGGCUCAACUUGGGUGCUGCAUUUCAAACUGGAAGUCUAGAGUGCAGGAGAGGAGAGUGGAAUUCCUAGUGUAGCGGUGAAAUGCGUAGAUAUUAGGAGGAACACCAGUUGCGAAGGCGGCUCUCUGGACUGUAACUGACACUGAGGCACGAAAGCGUGGGGAGCAAACAGGAUUAGAUACCCUU